UACAGAGGGUCCAAGCGUUGAUCGGAAUCACUGGGCUUAAAGGGUGCGCAGGCGGCGCCGUAAGUACGUUGUGAAAUCCCACGGCUCAACCGUGGAAUUGCUUCGUAGACUGCGGUGCUUGAGCACGACAGAGGCCGUCGGAACUCUAGGUGGAGCGGUGAAAUGCGUAGAGAUCUAGAGGAACGCCAAAUGGGAAGCCAGACGGCUGGGUCGUCGCUGACGCUCAGGCACGAAAGAGUGGGUAGCGAACGGG
rnacentral:rRNA from 1 species